CCGUCCAAUUGGCUGCCAGCCCCACGUGGCUAAAACAAAGCAGACAGAAGAAGGUGGAAUAAGCUGGCUUUCUGAGUCUUCCAUCCUUCAUCAGUCUCUCAUGCUAGAUGCUUCCUGCCCUUGGACAUCAGACUGCAGGUUCUUCAACCUUUGGACUCUUGGACUUGCACCAGUGGUUUGCCAGGAGCUCUCCGGCCUUUGGCCACAGACUGAAGGCUUCCCUACUUCUGAGGCUUUUGGACUCAGACUGAGCCACCACUGGUUUCCUACCUCCUCAGCUUGCAGAUGAUCUAUCAUGGGACUUCCUUUACCUUGUGAUGUCUGAAAAGUUAAGGAUCUGCUAUGAUCUCAUGUCUUCUGGCUGCUCUCAGCCUGGUGGGAGAGGCACAAACCUCAACAUACAGACACUAUGGCC